ACAUACGACCAUAGCCAUCGGAAAACUCGGGAUCCCGUCCGCUCUCCCAUAGAUAAGUCGAUGAGCGCCCCGAUUAGUACUUGGGUCGGUGACGACCAGGGAAUCCCGGGUGUUGUAUGUU
rfam:Fungal sp. No.14919 DNA, contig: Contig0017.